CUAUAGCUGAUCUGAGAGGAUGAUCAGCCACACUGGAACUGAGAUACGGUCCAGACUUCUACGGGAGGCAGCAGUGGGGAAUAUUGGACAAUGGGCGAAAGCCUGAUCCAGCCAUGUCGCAUGAGUGAAGAAGGCCCUUGGGUUGUAAAGCUCUUUUAGUGAGGAAGAUAAUGACGGUACUCACAGAAGAAGUCCUGGCUAACUCCGUGCCAGCAGCCGCGGUAAUACGGAGAGGGCUAGCGUUAUUCGGAAUUAUUGGGCGUAAAGGGCGCGUAGGCUGAUUAAUAAGUUAAAAGUGAAAUCCCGAGGCUUAACCUUGGAAUUGCUUUUAAAACUAUUAAUCUAGAGAUUGAAAGAGGAUAGAGGAAUUCCUGAUGUAGAGGUAAAAUUCGUAAAUAUUAGGAGGAACACCAGUGGCGAAGGCGUCUAUCUGGUUCAAAUCUGACGCUGAGGCGCGAAGGCGUGGGGAGCAAACAGGAUUAGAUACCCUGGUAGUCCACGCUGUAAACGAUGAAUGUUAAAUAUGGGAAGUUUACUUUCUGUAUUACAGCUAACGCGUUAAACAUUCCGCCUGGGGACUACGGUCGCAAGAUUAAAACUCAAAGGAAUUGACGGGGACCCGCACAAGCGGUGGAGCAUGUGGUUUAAUUCGAUGCAACGCGAAAAACCUUACCACUUCUUGACAUGGAAAUCAUACCUAUUCGAAGGGAUAGGGUCGGUUCGGCCGGAUUUUACACAGGUGUUGCAUGGCUGUCGUCAGCUCGUGUCGUGAGAUGUUGGGUUAAGUCCCGCAACGAGCGCAACCCUCAUCCUUAGUUGCCAUCAGGUAAUGCUGAGCACUUUAAGGAAACUGCCAGUGAUAAGCUGGAGGAAGAUGGGGAUGAUGUCAAGUCAUCAUGGCCUUUAUGAAGUGGGCUACACACGUGCUACAAUGGUGUCUACAGUGGGCUGCAAGGUGCGCAAGCCUAGGCUAAUCCCUAAAAGACAUCUCAGUUCGGAUUGUACUCUGCAACUCGAGUGCAUGAAGUUGGAAUCGCUAGUAAUCGUGGAUCAGCAUGCCACGGUGAAUACGUUCUCGGGUCUUGUACACACUGCCCGUCACGCCAUGGGAAUUGGUUUCACUCGAAGCU
rnacentral:rRNA from 1 species